CAAAAAGGCCUCGACUCAUAGUGGGAAAAGACAAGAGAGGCUUUGGCUGGCUUUGGAUCCAGAAAACAGCUGCUGAUUAGAGUCUGCGUCUUCGGGCUGCAUUUAUUACAUAUUUUUCAGCAGCAGGGAUUCUAGGAGGAAGCUUCCGUUUGGGUUUCUUGAUCGUGGUUUAUUUUUAUUCAGAGGAAUAACAGAGGAAGGAUUUGUUCCGGCUGGAGCAUGCUCACAACCUGCAAGACCUCCCAUUAUUAAACUGCCUACUUUGGGCUUUAAUAUCCAUGUGGUAUUUUUUUGAUUUUUAUUAGCGUUAUUAUUAUUUGGCAGCGUGCAUCUGUCUAUUUUUUUUUUAAUUUUUUAAUAAUUUAUUCGGAGAGGAAGCUGAUCUCGCAAUGAGCUUUCUCCUUCCUUACUUGAAACAGGUGCUAAUGAAAGAAUGCAAAUAGCACCGGCUGAGCCGAACAUUUCAUAAAGAAGGGAACAGCCACCGACCCCAAGCGCUCCGGGAUCUGCCCGCUGGCCCCCGGCAAAGGCACCCUUUUCCUAUGAACACCUGAGUCUCCUCCACCUCUCAGAGGAUGCACCUGUAGCAGCCUUCACACAGACCAUUUCUACAAUUUAUCAAGACCAUUUCGACUCCUAAUCCUGGCUCUGAAGCACCUGCAGCCCGUCCCAGCCUGGUAUCUGCAGCAAUUUUAAAAUGUGGGAAAUACUUUUCCAAGGCUUUUGAACUCCAAAGUGGAACAGAAGGAAGACACAGGGGGACAUCCACCGUUCAGUGUUAUUUUCCUUGCACAGGAGAGAGAGAGAGAGAGAGAGAAGAAAAAACGGAUCUUUCUGAGAUGAGCACUAAAGUCUCAAGUUUUCAAAGGUUUGCAUAACAAACAAGAGACACAUUGUGGGUUGCAUCUUGACUUUGAAGGCUUGCCACUGUCAACUGAAAUAAAAUGGCAAGGUUUAAAGCCUUAACCAAGUUCACAAGGAAAAUAUUUGGACUGAAAGUUUUGGAAAGUUUUCUCUCUUUGAAGUAGUUUGUCAUGUGUUACCAAUGUGAACUUUAUUGACCUUGAAACGUUUUUUUUUUUGAAUCAAAUAGCAACUAGUGACACUUUAGUCAAAUCUUAAAUCAACAACCAUCUCCUGGCGGCUCCAGCUUCGUAGCAAAUGCAGGCAAAACAGGGAAUCUACAGAGGAGACCUUUAUUAUUCCUAAAUGAAGCCUGCCAAAACCUUCCCGAAAUAGCAU
rnacentral:lncRNA from 1 species